GGAGCAUGACUUGGCUUUGCCAGAACGUUUUCGUCUUCUCUAAGUCAAAUGCAUCAAAUUUUAGUACUAAAGGUUCUCUAAACAGAAAUUAUCUUAGUAAUGUUUUCCAUAAUCUAGUUGUUAUACCUCUUUCAGGUUCCAUAAGCUGAAUUUCUCUCACUUGCUACAGCUGUAAUCUUUUACAUACAGAUUAGUUGUGUAACUGUACCUUCAGACCUAUUGAUGUAUUUGGUAUGCUGCAGUGACCACAUAACAUAAUCAUUCUGUGACAGAAAAGAAUGCCACCAAUGUUUGUUGUCAGUCUUAAUAAAAUAUCUCUAGGGUUA